GGUUUCCAAAUGGGGAUUGGAUGGGACAGAAUUAACUGGACAUUAUUUCUAUUUGUUUUGGUUGUUUCAUCUCCAAUCGACACAGCUCGAAUACCAGGGAGUCGAGAAAACGAAUCGAUUCGAUUAUAAAUAACGGCAAACAAGCGGGCACUCGUUUGAUUGGAAUGGAUACUAUUUCAAUAUUAUGAAUGAACCAAUGAUUUCCGGCAACGUAAACAGUACCGAAUCUUCUAGACUUUUUUUUUGGGUUGGAAUAGACUUCUUUUUUAAUAGAAUCUUCUAGACAUGCCUGCAGAAAGCUCCCAGGAUAAUUAGUAGUUGCGUGAAUGAGCGAUCGUCAAAAUCGGAGAAUCCAAACUCGCAAAUAGAAAGAAGCCAUUUCCCCAACACUUUUCUUCUCCUCCUCCCUCCUCUGAUCAAUUCUUCUGCAAUCCAAUUGCAAAAUAAUCGAUAAUCGAAUAUGAUUGAGGUGAUUUUAAACGACAGGUUGGGAAGAAGGAUAGAGUCAAAUGCAACGAAGAUGAUACCAUUGGCGAUCUUAAAAAGCUCGUCGCUACUCAGACUGGUACCCGACCCGACAAGAUUCGUAUCCAGAAGUGGUACACCAUCUACAAGGACUACAUUACCGUCAAGGAUUACGAGAUUCACGAUGGCACGGGUCUCGAGCUCUACUAUAACUAGUUUCUCGUCCAUUCUCUCUGGUCCGUUUCUCCCUUUUCAAAUUAGUCUACUACUUUACGUGUGUUUGUGUCGUGUGUGAUGUGAUUUUAUGGACUAGUGUUAGUGUACUUGACUGAUAAUGCAAACUCUGCGUGAAUUGGAUGUUGAAUUGAAUUUAACAGAUUCCUGUCCUAUAAUUUGGAUAUUAAUUAGUUGUGCUUGAAUUUGAGUGCAAUAAAUCUCUUAUACGCUUUAAGGGUAUAUGAAGAUUUGAGAUGAAUAUCAUAUUGAAAUUGCAUGAAUUUAAAAUCCACCUUAACUUCAAAUGCAUACUUACUGUUUUUAGCGAAUUCUAUUUCCUUCAAUUUGUUUGCUAAUUCUUUUCUUAAAAAAAUUUGCUUAUUUGAAAGCAAAAGCAAAAGCAAUGAUUAUUAGUUGAUUAUAGUAAAUUACUGUCUGGGGUUCAGAGAUUAAGUAAUGAUUAUUCGUUGCAUAAAAUUCUAAAGCAAAGCCUGUGGAAGGUCUUCACAUCAUUUGUAUCAAGCUGUACCUUACCAGAAUUUGGCAGAGAAACACAUUCUCAUUGCUCACGCUUAGUGCUACGUAUUGUUAGGUUUUUGCCAAAAAAAUUAUUAUUUAGCAAUGGCAUUGUUGUUUAGUAAUUACAUAAGCAAAGUUCCUUGGUUAAUAAGCGUUUUUAUAAAAUCAAAUUGCAAGCCUAGAAUGCUUAUAUCUGCUUUGAGGGGAAAAAGUUCAGACAGCAAGCCUGGAAUUGUAAGACAAUGAAAAUAGAAUAUUUCGCUUGAUGCAUUUUAUCAUUCAAAAUGUAGACUAUUAUUUUAAUGAAAUGUUGUCAUUUUGUUUCUACCUUGUUACAACUUAUUACAGUUCACUUACACUUUGUUUGUCUCGAAGGAAUAAAUAUUAUUGUCCUAUUUUCGUUUAUUUGGAUAGUAUUACAAACUUAAUUGAACACAUGGAGAUGGAUGAAUGGGAUGAGGCAAAAGUCCAUGAAAAAUGAAGAUUGGGCUUAAUUAAUUAGCUAGUUAGCCUUUCACCCUUGUAUACUCCUUUGAAUUCCUUUCUCUUUCCAAUGGGUGAUCCUUGACAUUUCUCCUUAAGGAACAACUUGAUAUCUAGUUAACACUUGAACCUUGAAAUCCUCUCUCGAAAUCUUGAAUUUGAAUACAAUAGCAACACACUGAUACUUGAACUUGAAAUUAAACUGAAAUUGAAAUGAAAUCUGACCUGCUUUAAUACUAUAUUACAAACUUGAAUUGAACUUAUAGAUAUAAAUGAAUAGGCUAAGAUAAGAGUUCAUGAAAAGGGAGAUAGGCUUACUUAAUCUUGAACAACCAGUACUAAAAGUUAUAACCAAUUAAUUAGUUAGGCCUAAAAACUUUUUCACUAAUUUAAAAUGAAAAGGAGGAAUGAAAAAGGGAAAAAAGGUACGAAGGCUAACAUUAUGAAUAUACCUUUAACAUCAUAUAAAUGCCACAUGAUGAGGGUAUAACAGUAAAAAUAAAUCUUAUAAAUUUAUUUAUUUUAUUUUUUAUUCUAGUUAAUUAAUUAUUUAAAUUUUAU
rnacentral:misc_RNA from 1 species